rnacentral:rRNA from 1 species
CCUGGCGGCAGUAGCGCGGUGGUCCCACCUGACCCCAUGCCGAACUCAGAAGUGAAACGCCGUAGCGCCGAUGGUAGUGUGGGGU